rfam:Triticum aestivum genome assembly, contig: Triticum_aestivum_CS42_TGACv1_scaffold_558941_7AL
GGUAUACUCCCUCCGUCCCAAAAUUCUUGUCUUAAAUUUGUCUCAAUACGGAUGUAUCACGUUUCAGUAUUAGAUACAUCCGUAUAUAGAUGAAUCUAAGACAAGAAUUUUGGGACGGAGGGAGUAUGUA